rnacentral:rRNA from 1 species
AGGAUUCUCCUAGUAACGGCGAGUGAACGGAGAUUAGCCCAUCGCCGAAGUCUGGUGCUUUUGCAUACAGGACAAUGUGGCGUUUAGGCAGGUACCUGGGGCUGUGAACCUACCCGAAGUCCAACUCCGAUUGUGGCUUUGGAUAUUGCCCAGAGCGGGUGAGAGGCCCGUACGGGUAGGUUCUUGUUGGUAUACAGCCUUCAGAUGUGCUUGCUUUCGAGUCGGAUUGCUUGAGAAUGCAGUCCAAAGUGGGUGGUAAACUCCAUCCAAGGCUAAAUACUGGCACGAGUCCGAUAGUAGACAAGUACCGUGAGGGAAAGUUGAAAAGUACUCUGAAGAGAGAGUAAAUAGUACGUGAAACCGGUUGCAGGGAAGCUGGUGGAGUCAAGCUUCAUGCUUGAGGGAUUUGUGGCUGUUACCUUGUAGUAAUUGGGCGUGUGGCCGAUCAACUUGGAAUUAGUUGGACGCAUUCGUGUGUUGCAAGUCUUUCUGGGUUGAAUGUUUGUGCCGGUUGCAUUGCUCUGUAACAGUUGCUCUAUCUCUUGCUGCAUAAAUCACGGUCAAUAGCCUUGCUUUCGGGCAGUGUGAUUGUCUAACUGAGCUUUGGUCGGCUAACCCCGACUGGGUUCAGAAUGGCAGGUGGGGGCCUCGUACCUCGUGUGCGUUGCUCCGUAUUGUGGUUUAGACCAGCUGAUGAUCACACUGUGUCGUAGCUAUUGUUGUUGUUUAUUGUUUAGUCUUCUAGACUGGCAAUAGUAAGAACCGUGAUUCUGAGGUAGA